rnacentral:snoRNA from 12 species
AUGACCAGGCUUCAAAGGAUCUUGUCCGUUUAGUUUGUGUCGCCAGAAUGUUAUAAAAUUAUGACCCUGGGCAAAAGUUCGAUGACGUAUUGAUCAUAUUACCAUUUCGAGCGUGAACAAGGCAAAAGCUGUUGAGUCUUACUCAACUUGGCAUUUGUUUAUAAUGAUCGCUUAUUGAUUCUCAUUUGGUCAAUGAAGGAAUGGUAAUAUUUAUCAGAGGACU